AAUGAACGCUGGCGGCAGGCCUAACACAUGCAAGUCGAACGAGGUAGCAAUACCUAGUGGCGGACGGGUGAGUAACACGUGGGAACGUACCCUUUGCUACGGAAUAGCCCUGGGAAACUGGGAGUAAUACCGUAUGAGCCCGAGAGGGGAAAGAUUUAUCGGCAAAGGAUCGGCCCGCGUUGGAUUAGGUAGUUGGUGGGGUAAAUGGCCUACCAAGCCGACGAUCCAUAGCUGGUUUGAGAGGAUGAUCAGCCACACUGGGACUGAGACACGGCCCAGACUCCUACGGGAGGCAGCAGUGGGGAAUCUUAGACAAGUGGGGGAAACCCUGAUCUAGCCAUGCCGCGUGAUCGAUGAAGGCCUUAGGGUUGUAAAGAUCUUUCAGGUGGGAAGAUAAUGACUGUACCACCAGAAGAAGCCCCGGCUAACUCCGUGCCAGCAGCCGCGGUAAUCUGAGUCGGAG
rnacentral:rRNA from 1 species